rnacentral:rRNA from 1 species
GACGAACGCUGGCGGCGUGCCUAAUACAUGCAAGUAGAACGCACAGUUUAUACCGUAGCUUGCUACACCAUAGACUGUGAGUUGCGAACGGGUGAGUAACGCGUAGGUAACCUGCCUGGUAGCGGGGGAUAACUAUUGGAAACGAUAGCUAAUACCGCAUAAUAUUAAUUAUUGCAUGAUAAUUAAUUGAAAGGUGCAAUUGCACCACUACCAGAUGGACCUGCGUUGUAUUAGCUAGUAGGUGAGGUAACGGCUCACCUAGGCGACGAUACAUAGCCGACCUGAGAGGGUGAUCGGCCACACUGGGACUGAGACACGGCCCAGACUCCUACGGGAGGCAGCAGUAGGGAAUCUUCGGCAAUGGACGAAAGUCUGACCGAGCAACGCCGCGUGAGUGAAGAAGGUUUUCGGGAUCGUAAAGCUCUGUUGUAAAGAGAAAGAAACGGGGUGUGAGAGUGG